GUGAACGCUGGCGGUAGGCCUAACACAUGCAAGUCGAACGGCAGCACAGUAAGAGCUUGCUCUUACGGGUGGCGAGUGGCGGACGGGUGAGGAAUACAUCGGAAUCUACUUUUUCGUGGGGGAUAACGUAGGGAAACUUACGCUAAUACCGCAUACGACCUACGGGUGAAAGCAGGGGAUCUUCGGACCUUGCGCGAUUGAAUGAGCCGAUGUCGGAUUAGCUAGUUGGCGGGGUAAAGGCCCACCAAGGCGACGAUCCGUAGCUGGUCUGAGAGGAUGAUCAGCCACACUGGAACUGAGACACGGUCCAGACUCCUACGGGAGGAAGCAGUGGGGAAUAUUGGACAAAGGGCGCAAGCCUGAUCCAGCCAUACCGCGUGGGUGAAGAAGGCCUUCGGGUUGUAAAGCCCUUUUGUUGGGAAAGAAAAGCAGCAGGUUAAUACCCCGCUGUUCUGACGGUACCCAAAGAAUAAGCACCGGCUAACUUCGUG
rnacentral:rRNA from 1 species